rnacentral:rRNA from 1 species
UGUAGGAUAGGUGGGAGGCUUUGAAGUGUGGACGCCAGUCUGCAUGGAGCCGGCCUUGAAAUACCACCCUUUAAUGUUUGAUGUUCUAACGUGGACCCGUGAUCCGGGUUGCGGACAGUGUCUGGUGGGUAGUUUGACUGGGGCGGUCUCCUCCUAAAGAGUAACGGAGGAGCACGAAGGUUGGCUAAUCCUGGUCGGACAUCAGGAGGUUAGUGCAAUGGCAUAAGCCAGCUUGACUGCGAGCGUGACGGCGCGAGCAGGUGCGAAAGCAGGUCAUAGUGAUCCGGUGGUUCUGAAUGGAAGGGCCAUCGCUCAACGGAUAAAAGGUACUCCGGGGAUAACAGGCUGAUACCGCCCAAGAGUUCAUAUCGACGGCGGUGUUUGGCACCUCGAUGUCGGCUCAUCACAUCCUGGGGCUGAAGUAGGUCCCAAGGGUAUGGCUGUUCGCCAUUUAAAGUGGUACGCGAGCUGGGUUUAGAACGUCGUGAGACAGUUCGGUCCCUAUCUGCCGUGGGCGCUGGAGAACUGAGGGGGGCUGCUCCUAGUACGAGAGGACCGGAGUGGACGCAUCACUGGUGUUCGGGUUGUCAUGCCAAUGGCACUGCCCGGUAGCUAAAUGCGGAAGAGAUAAGUGCUGAAAGCAUCUAAGCACGAAACUUGCCCCGAGAUGAGUUCUCCCUGAGACUUAGAGUCUCCUGAAGGAACGUUGAAGACGACGACGUUGAUAGGCCGGGUGUGUAAGCGCAGCGAUGCGUUGAGCUAACCGGUACUAAUGAACCGUGAGGCUUAACCUUACA